ensembl:lncRNA
CGUCUCGCGAUAGAGGACCCAAAGGAUCCGACCCGUCUCGCGCUGGGAGGACCCAAAGGAUCCGACCCGUCUCGUGAUAGAGGACCCAAAGGAUCCGACCCGUCUCGUGAUAGAGGACCGAACGAUCCGACCCGUCUCGCGCUGGGAGGACCCAAAGGAUCCGACCCGUCUCGUGAUAGAGGACCCAAAGGAUCCGACCCGUCUCGUGAUAGAGGACCCAAAGGAUCCGACCCGUCUCGCGCUGGGAGGACCCAAAGGAUCCGACCCGUCUCGCGCUGGGAGGACCCAAAGGAUCCGACCCGUCUCGCGAUGGGAGGACCCAAAGGAUCCGACCUGUCUCUCUCCCGUCUGGUUGGAGAAGGUUGUUGACCUGUUGCUUCCUCUUUGCAGACGUCCGGCCCAGAAGAGGUUGCAGCGCCGGAGCUGACUGAUGUGGAGGCCAAUGAGCAGCCGGUUGAGAGCGAGGCCCCGCCCACUGCAGACCCUGAUUCUGAGAAUCCAAACGAGGAGGAAAAGGAGACAUCUGAGAGGUCAGAGGCCGUUGAUCUCACAUCCUCUCUGGAGGCUGAAGACCAGACGACCCCCCCGGAGCCCCCCAAUGACUCUGGUAACUGUUAGAGACGGAAUAUGCUUAAUACAUGUAUAGGAGUUUUCAGUUUCAGCCAGCGAACUUCAACAUAUUGUUCCAUAAUGGUCUCAUUUUGUAUUUGUAUGUAUUAUAAAUUAUGAAUAUUCUUGUUCAGUUGGUUCAGUAACAAACACGUUGAGCUCUAAAAGUACCUGAAUACCAACGUUUUAUCACAUAAAACAUUUUCUAUGUUAGACCUUGAAUGGUUAAACACAGUAUUUUCUAAUCCCGCAGUAGCACAUAUUAAUAUACAUGUUAAUAAAUAAACAUUUUUCAACGCAUAAUCUAGGUUUUUAUCAGUGAAAAUUUGCAAAACGUCUCUGGUAAGCGUGCAAAUGAUGACCUGCAUCAUUCUAAGGAGUCCAUUCAUAGAGAGUUAGUGAUCUACGGUUUAUUUACAUCAGUUUUUGUCUAAAAGGAAUGAAUCAUUAGUCCUCAAUCCUUUAUCUACUAAGUCGCCUGAUCAGCUACACUGGGAUCGAUUGCUUCGGUCUUCGCCGGCACAUUCCGGCAACACGCGUGUUUCCUCUCAUUCUAGUAAACGCGUUUACUGAGGAACACAAAAUCACUCCUGUGAUUAUUUCGGCCCAUUUGCAGAAAUGGUGACGGCCUCCGGAGACCCUGAAGUCUCCAUCGUCCUCAACAUCGAGGACACCGACCCGACCCAGCCACGAUCCAGCCAGCCGCCCCCCGAGGAAGACCUUUCCAAAACCCCCUCGAAGAAGAAGAAGAAAAAGAAGAGCAAAGAGGAGGCGGAGGCACCGAGCACCGACUCGUCCACCGUAGACGCACCCAGCGACGCUCCUCUCGCCGCCAAGACCGCCAAAAAGAUGAAGAGAGACAAACGGAGGGCCGAGGGGAAGCAGACGGAAGAAAAGGAGGAGGCAGAUCAGACGAUAGAGGAGGCGGAUGCCUCUUUGGCCACUUCACCGGAGGAGGAGAAGAAGAAGAAGAAGAAGGCUAAGAAAAGGAAGAUGGAGCAAGAGGUAGCGGAGGAGAAGGAAGAGGUCACGCCUUCAGAGAAGAAAAUCAAAAAGAAGAAGAAGAAGGUAACAGAAGAGAAGAGCGAGGCCGUAGAAGUGGAGUGCAGCUUGUCCUCGAGUCCAGCCAAGACAAAGAAGAAGAAACCGUCUAAGGAAACACCAGCAGGGGGCAACACAGACACAGACAAGGAUCAGGAGUCCACAGAUGCAAGCUCAUCGACUAAGAAUCGCCGUUUCAGGAAGAAACACAGCCUCGUGAAAAGGUUGCAACACCGUAGAAAAAAGAUAAUGAAGAUGAGACAAAAGGCGACCGCGGAGGAGACGCCCCAAGGUGACCCCGCCCAGAAGAGCGACGACACACCAAAGAAGAAGAAGAAGAUGAUUAAAAUGAACGGAGAGCAAGAAGAGAAUUCCUCAAAGGAAAACCAACCGCCGAAGAAGAAAAAGAAGAAGCAAACAGAGGAGGAGGAGGAAAAGGAGGAGAGCUCCGGACCUCCUGAGACGGCAUCGACUCCACUUCCAAAGGAAGGCAAGAAGAAGAAGAAGAUGAUGAUCAUGGCUGAAGAAGGCGAGGAGACGACUGACAGCCCCAUGCCCGUCACUUCUGCAAAGAAAAAGAAGAGGAACCGGUCGGAGGAGACGGAACCGGCUGCAGAGGAACAAACUCCUCCCGCUGCGAAGAAAAAGAAAACCCCCAAAAAGAUAAAAAUCGCCUCAGACGAUCUCUGAGCAAAUCUCGGAUUCCUCUGACCCGUCGCUGCUGGACCUGAAAACCCCGAAACAAGACAAUCUCCUUCAUGUUUGUGCCUUUACACCUGAAAUAAUAACUGUUCUCAUAAAAGUAUAUUCCUAAAGGACACAAUGUUUACGGUCCCGUUUCACUGUCGUCUCCUUUUUAAAGCUUCCUCUGCGUUUUUAUCUCGAAGCAGAGCUGCUGCGGUGGGAAGAAGAUGCAUUUCGAGCUUCCUCGUAUUGCCAAAGUCAUUUUUGAGGCCCGUACUGAUCAAUUUCAAUAUAAUACAUUUCUGGAUGCAUUUAGCGGUGACUUAUUUAGCGGCAUCCGUUUGCGGUUGCUAUGGAAACGUGGAGCAGCUUGGUAUUUGGGGCUGCAAAGACAUUUUCAAUCAAAGGUUAUUCAGGGUUGGAUGUUCCGCCCUUCAGGGAUUGCUGCUACGCUGCAGCAUUUAAUAAAACAAAUGCCAUCUGCAUCCCAUGCAAACUAAGCGGUGACGAACGGAAGCGCUGAAUAUCUUACUGUCGUUAAAGGUGUCCUCCGUUUAGGAUGUGCGUUAAGGGAAAAGCUGUGAAACAGACAAGGUCUUUGAAUCAUCUUCUGUUGGUUUAUAAAUGGAUAGUUCAUGUAUUUGUAGUGAAGAGGCGAAAAAGUAUGUUUCGUCUCGAGGGAGAAACUCGUGUUUUUACUUUUUUAGUAAGCUGUGAAAUGUUUGUUUUCACACUGUUUCCUUAAAACCAUUAACUAUGCAUCUGUUAAAGGCUCUGGGAUGAAAUACUUACUUAUCUGUUCUGAGAACUAACACGUGUGAGACAAUAAAAACUCCCAAACGCUUUAAUUGUCUUUUGCUUUACACUUGACAGAAGCUUCAUUCUUCGGAAGCAGGACACUGAAUUUUGUCACUUCACCUCGACAAGUCGUAAACACGGAGCUGCGUUUCUGCUGGACGGACGUCCACAAACGUCACACUUAAACUAUGCAUGUCAUCACAUUGUGAAAAUAGUUUUGAGGCUCAGGGACUAGAACUCAGAUUUAUGUACAAACUACAUCACGCAACUAUUUGUAACCCGUAAAACCUUUUCAUUAACUGCAGUAAUUCACUCAUUUAAUAUUGAUUCAUCAAGCUGAGCCAACGGCGUCUGUUUGCAAAACUUCUGUCCUCCGUUACGAACAAUUUUAACGCUUUAAAAUGUUUACUCUUCCUCAUGUAAUUGUUUCUUUCAAUAAACACUUUCUCUUAAA